rnacentral:lncRNA from 1 species
UUUAAUAACAUUAUAACACACAUUUUUAAAAGUUUUGAGCCAAAAUCUUGUCAAAUUGCUCAAGAUAUAGCUCAAAAUAUAACCACUAGUAAAUCAGAUUACUUACUAUCUUUGGAUUACCAGUACUAAUCUCAACUUCUCAUAAUUCGUUCAAUACAACUUAGAAUUCAUUAAGUAAUACAUAAAAAAUAUAGACAAAAAAGUGUUC